GACGAACGCUGGCGGCGUGCUUAACACAUGCAAGUCGAACGGAAAGGCCCUGCUUGCCGGGUACUCGAGUGGCGAACGGGUGAGUAACACGUGGGUGAUCUGCCCUGCACUUCGGGAUAAGCCUGGGAAACUGGGUCUAAUACCGGAUAGGAGCCAUUUUUAGUGUGAUGGUUGGAAAGUUUUUUCGGUGUAGGAUGAGCUCGCGGCCUAUCAGCUUGUUGGUGGGGUAAUGGCCUACCAAGGCGGCGACGGGUAGCCGGCCUGAGAGGGUGGACGGCCACAUUGGGACUGAGAUACGGCCCAGACUCCUACGGGAGGCAGCAGUGGGGAAUAUUGCACAAUGGGCGCAAGCCUGAUGCAGCGACGCCGCGUGGGGGAUGACGGCCUUCGGGUUGUAAACCCCUUUCGCUAGGGACGAAGCUUUUUGUGACGGUACCUAGAUAAGAAGCACCGGCUAACUACG
rnacentral:rRNA from 1 species